UUCUACACGAUUAUUUAUUUAUUUAUUUAAAGCUUUUUGGAUAUUAUAUAUAUAUUUGAUUACAACAAAAAUAAUAUAAACACCCCUAAAACAAACUCCGUAGGAACAUAAACACGCCUAAAACAACAACACAAACUAAAAAAUAAAAAGACUUAACACCACAACAUGUCUAAGAGAUUACAACAAUCAAAACAAUAUCAUAUGAUGCAGACAUCAUAUUUCUAAAAUCAUUGUCAUCUUUAACUCACAGCCACAUACGUUGCAUAACAUUAUUAUCAUCUGCAUUUGAGAUGUACGAAACAAACCUCUCGAUACUUCUAGUUUUUUCCCAGCAUUAAUCUUUUCGUCAAACUAAAUUUCCAAACUCCUUUCCAGAUGCUUGAAACUUUGGAUCUUCCAAAAAUGUAUUUUCGUCAGAGGUUUUGGAUAACAUACAUGAUCAUCUCUUUUAACACUCAUGAUAGAAUUAGUGAAGAAAAGAAA
rnacentral:lncRNA from 1 species